rnacentral:lncRNA from 1 species
UGGACUAUAUUGGGUCUCUCUGGUUACAGCACACACCUUGACUGAAUUUUGCAUCAGCAAUGAUUGUGUACAAGGCUCUUUCUCCUCCACCAGAUCCAUGUAUAUCUUCAGGAACAGAAAAGAAAAUCUUUCCCUCCAUUAUCCAAUUCUGUUUUCUUUUAAAUAGAAUUCAUCAUUCUCAUUCUAGAAUUGAACUCUGAACAGAAUUGGUUGGGGGAAGUCAGGACAGAUUUUAUGAUCGGUAACCUAGCUUUUCUCAUUGUUAUCCCAUGACAUUGUUGAAUUAACUGUAAUUUUGAUGCGUUCAUGUGUUCUGGAGGGGAUGCUAACCGGUGCCCUUUUUGGAUACUUCAACCUCCCAAGUGUUCCAUGUAAGCUGCUUUCCUAAUUAUUGAAGUUACUAAUUCUUCUUCCAGUUUAAGGUACUUAUCACUUAUCAUCAAGAUUUAACCUAAUGGCACCUGAACAUUAUGUUCAGAAAUGUUCACUUCUGAUGCCUUAGUGGCUCAGUUCACUCAUCAGUCCUCAAAUCUUCAACCCUCACAUGGACUCUGAAACUAAAAUCGAAUUCUAUAUUCAAUUUAGUGCUCCAGUUUCAUCUCAACUGUUUCGUGUAAUUAACAAUUAUAUAAACGAUUCCCCUGAAUGAAUGAUCAAUGCAGCAGCACAAAGCAAUCGAAUCUGUGGCGAAGUCGAUCUAACCAGCGACGAGAAGACAGAGGGAGGGUGGCAUCACGGGUACCUCGGUAGAGCUCGAGGCCGCGGCGACGAAGGAGGCAAUGGAGCUCUCGACCUUCUCCUGCAUCCCCGGACGACCCUCUCUAGCCGUCUCCCCGUCCCCUGCAGCCGCAACCCACCCUCCCGCUCCGCUCCGGUCUCCUGCGCCAUCGCCGAGGCGGGGACUCGAUGGCCGGCCGUGCCAGUGCUCGACGACUUACCUCACCGGCUCGUCGGAGCGCUCGCUCGCAGCAACGGCCACUUCCCUUCUCCCCCCACAUAAACCUCGCCAGCGCCACCGCUGCCACUCGCCGGGCCGCCGCCGACGCCGCCGGCGUCCCACGCGCAGCGACCAGCUUAAUAUGGGCCUAUGUUCACUGGCAGUACACGUUGGGCUAUUAAUUUCAGCCCACACGCAAACCGCAAAUCCCCAAACGGCCCAUACAAUUAUGGGCCGCACGUUACAUUCGUUCUGGGCUGACAAAUGGGCCCCAUUGGUCUGGGCCGCCACGUUUGGACCGUAUUACGGCCCAAACAAGAUUGAGUUGUGCAAUGUUCAGUUCAUUCUUGUUUGUUCGCAUGUAUCAUUCAGAAAGUUAGGUCAUGUCCGGACCACGGAUUAAAAUAAGUUAGGUUAUUAUAUCCGGACCAUGGAUUAAAAUGUAGUAAAAUGUAAGUGGUCUCCUUUGCAAUGGAUCAGGUUAACACUACUUGGCA